UCUCUUGCUUAAACAGUGUUUAGAGGAACAGAUACCGGGGACUCUUUCUUCCGGCCUCCGACCGCCCUCCGAUUUCCUCUCUACUUGCAACCUCCGGGACCAUCUUCUCGCCAUCUCCUGCUUCUGGGGACCUGCUAACACCGUUUUUGUGGUUAGCUCCUUUUUACUGACCAGCCAUGAGCCCCCAGAUUCGUCAGAAUUAUUCCACUGACGUGGAGGCAGCCAUCGACCGCCUGGUCCAUGUGUACCUGCAGGCCUCCUACGCCCACCUCUCUCUCACUGGGCUACUAUUUUGACCGCGAUGAUGUGGCUCUGGAAGGCAUGAGCCACUUCUUCCACGAAUUGGCCGAGGAGAAGCGCGAGGGCUAUGAGCGUCUCCUGAAGAUGCAAAACCAGCGUGGCGGCCGCGCCCUCUUCCAGGACAUCAAGAAGCCAACUCAAGAUGAGUGGGGUAAAACCCUGGACACCAUGGAAACCGCCAUGGCCCUGGAGAAAAGUCUGAACCAGGCCCUUUUGGAUCUUCAUGCCCUGGGUUCUGCCCGCACAGACCCCCAUCUCUGUGACUUCCUGGAGAGUCAUGUCCUAGAUGAAGAAGUGAAAAUCAUCAAGAAGAUGGGUGACCACCUGACCAACCUCCACAGGCUGGGCAGGGCCAAGGAUGGGGCGCUGCCAGGAGGCCAGUCCUGCAGCAGUGAGCAGGAGGGCAGGCCAGGAAGUGAGCCCCCUCCCCCACCAUCACUGGGGUCCUGCGGCCAGACUGACCGCUCCUCCUCUCACCCAUGCUGGACUGCCCGGCUCCUCCUUCUUUCCAAGGCCACCUUGGACCCACCUGAAGAACUGUCUGCCCAACCUAGCCUCAUUCAGUCUCACCAAAGCAGAACAUUCCAGGAGUGAGGUUCUCCCCACCCC